AUUUUCCUGCAACCUCUCCUUUCAUGGUCAUCUGUACUAGGCUAUCCAGCCAUCCCUUCCAGUGGAUGUAGAUACACAUUUUCCUGUACUUCAACGGAGGAAGCAGACUACUUCUGUUACUCCUACCCAUUGGCCGCUCUACGUUUCCUGCCAAAAUCCAUUUAGCUGACUGGACUGGACAAUUGUUCAUCUCACACGGAUCUUCAAUGUUGAGUCUCCAUGCUUUCUAACCACGGAGCCAAGUUCCACUUGGCAUGGCUCAGGUGCCUGGGUGGUCGUCUCCCAAAUUGAAGGUGGCUGGUUCGAGCCUCAUUCCUCUUGUUAUGAUAUGGAAGUAUCCUUGG